GAUCUAUGGCGCGGAAUUUGCAGACUAUCCAGACGCUGCGCAGGCGGUAAACCCGGCCCUGGAACAUGCGUUUUCAAAUGUAAAGUAUGAAGGCCUUGCUGAUUUGCAGGCACCGCUUGUUCCCGCGGCAAGUGGCCGGAUGGAAGAAGAUGUGGCCUAUGAUGAUCCGCUAUGGUUUUUCUUUACCCCAGGCACGACAGGGCGACCCAAAGGCGCGCUGCUCACCCAUGGCCAGAUGGCUUAUUGCGUCACCAACCAAAUCGCUGACUUGAUGCCGGGAUUGAACGAACAUGACGUGUCAUUGGCGCUUGCUCCAUUGAGCCAUGGGGCAGGGCUUCACGCGAUUCCGCAAGUCGUGCGCGGCGCAAAAACGGUGAUCCCUGAAGGCCGCGGCAUGGAUGUGGUGGAAGUUUUCACGCUCAUUGAGCGCCACCGCAUUAGCAAUAUGUUUGCGGUGCCGACCAUUGUAAAAACCAUGACCGAGCACCCUGCGGUCAAUGAAUAUGAUCAUUCAUCGCUCAAACAAAUUAUCUAUGCCGGUGCGCCCAUGUACCGGGCUGACCAAAUCCAUGCUUUGAACACGCUUGGUUCCUGUCUUGUGCAAUAUUUCGGCCUUGGCGAAGUCACUGGAAAUAUCACGGUUUUGCCGGCCCACAUGCAUUCAACUGAUGAUGACGUGCAUCCUGUCGGGAGCUGCGGUUUCGCCCGCACUGGCAUGGAGGUGGCGAUCCUCAAUGAAAACUGUGUUCAGGUUGC
rnacentral:rRNA from 1 species